GUGGGGAAUCUUGCGCAAUGGGCGAAAGCCUGACGCAGCAACGCCGCGUGCGGGAUGAAGGCCUUCGGGUUGUAAACCGCUUUCAGCAGGGACGAAAAUGACGGUACCUGCAGAAGAAGCUCCGGCUAACUACGUGCCAGCAGCCGCGGUAAUACGUAGGGAGCAAGCGUUGUCCGGAUUUAUUGGGCGUAAAGAGCUCGUAGGCGGUUUCGUAAGUCGAGUGUGAAAAAUCUGGGCUUAACCCAGUGGAGCACUCGAUACUGCGAUGACUUGAGUCUGGUAGAGGAGUGUGGAAUUCCUGGUGUAGCGGUGAAAUGCGCAGAUAUCAGGAGGAACACCAACGGCGAAGGCAGCACUCUGGGCCAGUACUGACGCUGAGGAGCGAAAGCGUGGGGAGCAAACAGGAUUAGAUACCCUAGUAGUCC
rnacentral:rRNA from 1 species